UACGUAGGGGGCGAGCGUUGUCCGGAUUUAUUGGGCGUAAAGAGCUCGUAGGCGGUUCGAUAAGUCGGACGUGAAAUCUCCACGCUCAACGUGGAGGGGCCGUUCGAUACUGUCGUGACUCGAGUCCGGUAGGGGAGUGUGGAAUUCCGGUGUAGCGGUGAAAUGCGCAGAGAUCGGGAGGAACACCGGUGGCGAAAGCGGCGCGCUGGCCGUCUUCUGACGCUGAGGCGCGAAAGCCAGGGGAGCAAGCGG
rnacentral:rRNA from 1 species